rnacentral:rRNA from 1 species
AGCAGCCGCGGUAAUACGGAGGGUGCGAGCGUUAAUCGGAAUUACUGGGCGUAAAGCGCAUGCAGGUGGUUUGUUAAGUCAGAUGUGAAAGCCCGGGGACGUCGAACCUCGGAAAUUGCAUUUGAAACUGGCAGACUAGAGUACUGUAGAGGGGGGUAGGAAGUUUCAGGUGUAGCGGUGAAAUGCGUAGAGAUCUGAAGGAAUACCGGUGGCGAAGGCGGCCCCCUCGGACAGAUACUGACACUCAGAUGCGAAAGCGUGGGGAGCAAACAGGAUUAGAUACCCUGGUAG